AUUACUUUUUAUUUCAUUCCAUAAGAUUCAUUUAGUGAAUGAAUUUUUGAAAUAGAAAUUAUUGCUUUUAGAACAGACAUCAGGCAUUUGAUCAUGGACUGAUUAGUGCAGAAGUUAGAGAUUUACGAAAUGGCGGGAGAAAGAGGAAAGUGGAUAAAGAGUGAUUUUCAAGCAGGAAUAUUAUUAAUUAAGGAAUCACUACAAUUUGUUAUUAGGAGUGAAAGUCAAGUUGUUUAAAAUAUUGAGUUGUAAAUGUAAAUAUAAUGCGAAUGCGAGAUAAAUUAUUCAAAAUAUCGAUUUGUGUGCGUUGAUAGAAUCUAUGCUUGCUUGUUCGUCGAAGAAAAAGCUAGUACUCGUACUAGUACCCUAUCAAAACACUGUGAACUGAUUAGGGUAAUAGAGGUUAAGUGAAAUGGCGGGAAAAAGCGACAAUGGAUGACGAGUGAUUCUACGAUAAAAAGUAAACAUACGAAACACAUGCAAGAACACUUUGACUAGAUUUUGAAAGAAAGGACUUCUUUGUACAGCAAAAAUAGCAUCUAGAGGAAAAAUUUACAUUUUAGAAAAUGAAAAUGGAAAAGUCUGACAUUUGAUUUAAACUGUCAAACAUCUCAGUGGACUGAGACUCAGUGCUGUACAAGGAGUCUACUGCGUUGAAAGCACAACGUGCCACAGUGCCCGUUACUUUUCUGCCGCGGUCACGUCACAGGAACAGAGGUUAUGCCCAUCUCAUAAUCAAUUUUGGAACAAGAUUAUCAUAGAAUAUCUGUACCCUCAAAUUCUUGGUACUAAAAAUCAUGUGAUCAAUUUUUAAAAAAAUCAUGCCGUUUGGUGUAUCAGUAAGAUAGCUUCGGCUGAUUAAUUCUAAUCAUACUCAAUCUUAACUGAUUUAAAGUAUCAUGUUAUGCGUACAGUACGGUUCAAAAGUAUUAAUUUAUUAAAAGAGUCUUAAAUAGUUUCGGACAUAUAUUCAUUUAAGUAACAACUGCACUUAACGCAGAUGUUAAUUUUAACAAGUAAGGAUGACAUUUUUAUUUAAAUCUAUAAAAUCUCUUUUGACUUUUAAACAUAAUUUUGUUACAUUCGAAACAAUGUUUGUCCUACAUCCGACAAAACGAGAAAACGAUCGGUGCACAUAGCGGAAACAGAGAAAUCUGGGCGUCGCUGUUUAAUGGUCCUUGGUCAGAUAAAUAAACUAGAUCCAUAUCCUUUCUAUAACAUUGUCUUCGCACAGAAAUUACAAAGACUGUUGUAAAUAUUAUUCAACACUGGUGUUGUAAUUAUGUUUCUUUCAUUCGGUUAUUUUCUUUGAACUAAAUUCACUGGACUUUGAAAAUAAUGAAAUAUUAGAAAGGAAGGAAAGAAUUAACACUGUCCGAAUGAGGCUGGGUAUUAAAUGUCAUCACGUAUGAUGCUGCGCUUCCGGUGAUCGAACGGUACUAACAAAAUGAGGUUAAACAUUAAUGGCAGCAUAAAAUUUUUAGGCUGGCAACAAACGGACCAUGCAACAUAUAUCUCAUCAGUGUACACUUUCUAAAAAAUCUUCAAGUUACAAAUCUUUUAAUGGCUUAAUAAAGAGAAGACUUUAUCAAGAAAACUCAGUAGCAUCAUUUUAAACGGUUCGUUUAGAAAAAUUCUACUGUUACGAGGCAUUAAUAUUCCAGUCGCCAUCUUUGUACCGUAUGAGCAUCGAUUAAAAUUAUUUUCAGCCACUGCAAUACGGGAUCGCGACCCAAAUUAUUGUAAACGCUAACACAUUUUUUGUUAGAUUAUUAAUAGAUCUUUUUUGCGAAACUUCUAACAUUAAUCACACUUAUAACAACAUACUACAGACGUUCCUUGAUGACAUUCUCGGAUAUAAUAACGUUUAAUUGCAUGUACAGUGUGUCAUUCGCAAGGCCUGCCGAUUGGAAAUCAGGACUCGUGAUGGUCUAAUAAGCGUUCUAAUUAUGUCUCGGCGAUCGUGAGUCACGUGUUAAAAUAAAGCGAUUUUAAUAGAGCUAUAUUGGUGUGGAAUAAUUAGAAGAUUGAAAAAUUAUAAGUAAAUAUCCUGUAUUGAAACUUGAGUACUAAAAAUGCACUUUUUAGGGCGUCGUGCUUGUCCGAUAUUUAUUAACUAAAAAUGCCACAGAUAUCGAUAGUUGACACCGGUAAAAAAAGCGAUAAGGUACGUGUACCUAGAAAUCCUGAUAAGAGGGCAAUGACUACACCUUCAUUCAGGAAUACAGUAAGAGACGUCAAAUAAAUGAUGUCAUAUAAAUUUUCAAAUCCCCAUAAUCUCAAAUUCUCAAAUUUUUAAAUGAAUAAUUUGCAAGCUUGAUAAUGUCAUUAAUCGGCAAUAUAAUAAGAUCGUACUAUAUCUAAAACUAUACAAACACUCACAUCGAGAAUUUGUAGCGAUCGACUUGUAAAUACUUGAUCAAGAAUAAGAUAUCUGAUUUAGGAUAUCUCUGUUCAAAUAAUUUACUGAAGUAUCGUAGAAAAAUUGGAGUAAAACGUUUCCGCAAAUACGUAACUGUAUCGAAACGACAUAUUUCAGAUGCAUUUUUACAAACGAAAGAAAAUGUAUUGGAAACUGUAAAUAA
rnacentral:lncRNA from 1 species